rnacentral:tRNA from 6 species
GGGGGUGUAGCUCAGUUGGUAGAGCGCGUCGUUCGCAAUGACGAGGUCAGCGGUUCGAUCCCGCUCACCUCCACCA